CUACGUGCCAGCAGCCGCGGUAAUACGGAAGGUCCAGGCGUUAUCCGGAUUUAUUGGGUUUAAAGGGAGUGUAGGCGGUUUGUUAAGCGUGUUGUGAAAUUUAGGUGCUCAACAUUUAACUUGCAGCGCGAACUGUCAGACUUGAGUACACGCAACGUAUGCGGAAUUCAUGGUGUAGCGGUGAGAUGCUUAGAUAUCAUGAAGAACUCCGAUUGCGAAGGCAGCAUACGGGAGUGUAACUGACGCUUAAGCUCGAAGGUGCGGGUAUCGAACAGGAUUAGAUACCCUGGUAGUCCGCACAGUAAACGAUGGAUGCCCGCUGUUAGCGCCUGGCGUUAGCGGCUAAGCGAAAGCAUUAAGCAUCCCACCUGGGGAGUACGCCGGCAACGGUGAAACUCAAAGGAAUUGACGGGGGCCCGCACAAGCGGAGGAACAUGUGGUUUAAUUCGAUGAUACGCGAGGAACCUUACCCGGGCUUGAAUUGCAGAGGAAUUAUUUAGAGAUA
rnacentral:rRNA from 1 species